GCUAGGUGUGGUGGUGCACACCUGUAAUCCCAGCUACCUGGGAGGCUGAGGCAGAAGAAUCACUUGAACCCAAGAGGCAGAGGCUGCAGUGAGCCAAGAUCAUGCCACUGCACUCCAGCCUGGGCAACAGAGUGAGACUCUGUCUCAA
rnacentral:sRNA from 1 species